CACACUCCUUUGCCCCAGUUGCAGUGACUAUGGUGGCAAAACUACUUCUAAGUUUUGAUUAAGGCAAUUUGGUAUUCAGGUUCCUAUCUCCACUAGGCAGAACAUCUUGAAUGUUUCCGAAUACCGGAUCGGUGACUAUUUUCACCUGUCUUUCUAUCACAAGUCCACAAUAUCGGAAAAGCAAGCUGGAUGGUUACAUCUUUCUUGUAAAUCAUAUGCCACCAUUCUCCAUCUUUCUCUGAGCUUAUAAGGAAGUUUUGCAAGUACAAUUUGCAUAUUAGAAGCAAAAUUUAACUCUUUCAUGUAACAAAUAUUCUGCAUAGCAUUGCAGCAACUCAUGAGAAAUAAGCUGUAUACAUGCAGAGCCCUAGCAUCCUCAGCUCGUAUCGCUUGCCACGAGAGUGCUCUUUUCAUGUAAGCUGAGGCUAUCCUUACCUCAUUGCCGAAAUGUUCUUUGAGCAAAGCCUUAGCCCUCUAGUGUACUGCUUCAAGAAAUGCAAGCAAUCUGCAUGGCCACUUGCUUUCUUUUCUACCACCUCUUCAAAUGUUCACAUAAAGUUGUGAUAACGCAAUGGAUCUCCAUCAAAGAAUGGGACCUCCCUUGAUGGAAGUGAAGAUAAUAGGGCAGCAAAUUAAUUUUGUUUAAGUUUAAGGAUACUUCCUCCUUCCAAACCAUCCUGUAAAUUCAAUCCAUAAGCACCCUGCAUUCCAAGUCCAUGUCCACCAUCCUGACUGAUGCUGGGUAAUAUAGAAUGUGUCAACCUUGUGUUAGAAGUUACAAUCUGUUGCUGUUGUUGAGCUGACUGAGUUGGAAGAUGCAUUGAAUUCUCUGGUGCUGCUUGAGCCUGUGUAUAAGAUACAGAUGGCUGUAGUGGCACUGAAUGUGAACUUGAAGGUAAAAAUGGAUCCACAUUUGGGUUAAGAGAACUGGUUCCAGUAUUUCUUGACCUUAACGCAAUGGCAUCAGAAGAAUCUGUACAACUUCGUUCUGAUCUCACGUCGCUAUACACUUUCAUCUUGGCCAUGGAUACAGCAAUUUUAGUGUCCAGUUCCAUUUGUUCUUUUCUCCUCCUCAAAUCCUCCUCUUCCUUCUCCAAUCCACGUUUCUGUGAUAACAUUUUCUGAUGUGCCAACAAGGCUGCCAUUUUGGACUUAACCUUAAGAUGAGCAUAUACAAUAGAAGAUCGACUGGUUCAAGAUCCAUGAGUUGUUGUCGCUUUCCUGCCCACGUUAGAGGCACUAUCAGUUGGUUGUAUUUGAUUCUGCACAUCACCAUCAUCAAUAUCACAGUUCGGAUUUUCACUUGGAACAUGCAUAUUAUGAGAUGAUGAAACUGGUUCAGCAGAAUAUGGAAUAAUAGAGUCACAACUCAAUUUGCAUGACGUUGAGUAGAAUUUGAUUCUGUUAUUUGAGCAUUUUGCCUCAGAUUCUUAGCUUCAUUCAACCAUCGUUCAACAUCUUCCACAAAUCCAUCAUUGUGCUUAGAAACUGCAUCAAACCACUCAUUUUGUUUAUUUUGUUCAUUAGAAGGAAGAAAAUGAAGUACUUCUUUGUGCAACACAGAUGCAUC
ensembl:lncRNA